UAAAAGUUUUAUUCUAGCUAAAGAAUUUUCUGUCAGAUUGUUUCAUAUGUAAGUAAUUAUGAGAUAGAUAAGGAAAUCUAAAAGAUUCUGGAAUAUUUUGUUAUGCGCAGUGUUUUGUAUUGGUUGGUCAAGGCAUCUUGGAACUAGUAAUUUUGUUAAUUCCGGCAAAAUUUGUGCCAGCCGCCGCGGUUAUACAAAAGGAGUAAGAAUAUUUUAUUGGUUUGUAAUUAGUUUUAAGAGGUGGUUAAAAGGUGGAAUUUGUUAGGUGAAAUUUUAAAUCUAUAGUUAAUCAAAUUAUAGUUGAAUGAAGUUAUGAAGUUUAGACAAUAAACUGGGAUUAGAUACCCCAUUAUUCUAAAAGUUAAAAUAAAGCCAGAGUAGUAAUAGUUAUGUUCUUGAAACUCAAAGAAUUUGGCGGUGUUUUAAUCCGGUCAGAGGAACCUGUCCUGUAAUCGAUAAUCCACGUUUAUUUAACUUAGUUUUGUAUUCAGCUUGUAUACCGCCGUCAAAAGAAUGAUUCGAGAGAAUAUUUUCAAGGUUUUUAAUUAAAAAAGAUGUCAGGUCAAGGUGCAGUUUAUGGCUAAGGAGAGAUGGGUUACAAUAAUUUUAAUUACAUGGAUAUUUUUUUGUAAAAGGAAAUUAAAGGUGGAUUUGGAGGUAAUAAAAGAAAAUAAGUUUUUAUGAUAACGGCUCUAAAACAAGCACACAUCGCCCGUCGCUCUCGUUUUUUAAGGCGAGAUAAGUCGUAACAUAGUAGAUGUACUGGAAAGUGUCUCUAGAAAGU
rnacentral:ncRNA from 1 species